AGGUACAGUCAUCAAGAUCUAGAUGACUAAUUGCAUGUAGGGGGUAAAAAAGUAGGAAGAAGAGAGGAUGAUGACUCCUGCGUUUCUGGCUUGGGAAAGUGGUUAGAUUGUGGGCUGGAUGUGUGCGUGAUUAUGUGUGUGUAGCUGAAAAGGCAAUUUAGCUUUGCAACUGUUGAAGUGAAUAUGGACCAUAGACAUAGAUAUCCACUAGGUAGCUGAAUAUGUAGCCUGCAAAUCAGGAGAAAAUUCUAGGUGAAGAUGGUAAUUGCGAAUCAUCAGAGUCUAUAUGAGGCAGGCAGUCCAAGGCUGAUGCCCAAAGAAGCCAUCAAGACCCGUGCUACUUCCAGCUCCUUCUGUCCUCAUAAUCAUAGAUGAUUGCUCCACAUCCAGGGUGGAAUGCAAUGGUAUGAACACAAGGCUCACUACAACCUCUACCUCCUGGGCUCAAGCGAUCCUCUCACCACAGCCUCCUGAGUAGCUAGGACUACAGCACCUAACACCAGUACUCAGUUAAAUUUUUUGCUGAAUAAAUCAAUGAAUGGAGAGGUAAAGAGGAACCAGAAGUUGGGGUUACAGAAGUCACUGAUGGAAGAGUUUCAAGAUAGUAGAAGUGGUCAGCCCUGUUAAGUGACAAGCCAAGGACUGAAGAAAGACUGGCAGAUUUGGCAAUCAGAUGAAGUGACCUGACCAAAGAGCAGCUUGUGUGAAGUAGUGAGGACAGGCGCUGGUCUGC
rnacentral:lncRNA from 1 species